rnacentral:lncRNA from 1 species
AGUGUUAACUAAUGGAAUAUCCAAGAAGGCAGCCCCUAAAGUUGGUCAGCCUCCCAUUCCUAUUGUUCCUCACUGAUCCAAGCUAGAUGCCUGAUUGCCUCCCGGGGGUCUCUGCACACCUCUUUUUGUGGAUGUUUGAUUGCUGGGAGGGGGAACACUUUAAGGAUCAAUGGACAAAGGUGAUCAAGAUCUGGCAACCCUACCUGGAGGGCAAAGUCGCUCUCGGUUGAGAAGCACUACAUCAGAACAAGGCUGGAAAUGGUUAUGAAAGCCAUAGAUAAAAACAAAACCAAGCACAGCUUAAUACCACCUCACUAGAGACACAUUUUAGAUACAUGCUUUAAAGAAAGACACAUUUUCCAUUUAUACUUGAAAGAAACAACCAGAGAAAAAU